AAGUCCUUUAAGUUAGUCCAGAGAGGCUAGUAAGGUGCAGUCUGAUCGUUAAAAAUAACUUCCGACUACCCGCUUGCCGUCCAGGGCAAGCGGGUUUUCUUAAU
rfam:Lactobacillus ingluviei strain DSM 14792 Scaffold2, whole genome shotgun sequence.